GAUGAAGAACGUAGCGAAAUGCGAUAAGUAAUGUGAAUUGCAGAACUCGGUGAAUCAUCGAAUCUUUGAACGCACAUUGCGCCCCCUGGUAUUCCGGGGGGCAUGCCUGUCCGAGCGUCAUUGCUGCCCUCAAGCACGGCUUGUGUGUUGGGCCUCCGUCCUCCUCCCGGGGGACGGGCCCGAAAGGCAGCGGCGGCACCGCGUCCGGUCCUCGAGCGUAUGGGGCUUCGUCACCCGCUCUUGUAGGCCCGGCCGGCGCUUGCCGACACAUCAAUCUUUUUUCCAGGUUGACCUCGGAUCAGGUAGGGAUACCCGCUGAACUUAAGCAUAUCAAUAAGCGGAGGA
rnacentral:misc_RNA from 1 species